rnacentral:rRNA from 1 species
GACGAACGCUGGCGGCGUGCCUAAUACAUGCAAGUCGAACGAGUGGCGGACGGGUGAGUAACACGUGGGAACCUACCCAUCAGAGGGGGAUAACACUUGGAAACAGGUGCUAAUACCGCAUACUGAUGGAUGGACCCGCGGUGCAUUAGCUAGUAGGUGGGGUAACGCCUCACCUAGGCGACGAUCCCUAGCUGGUCUGAGAGGAUGACAAGCCACACGGGAACUGAGACACGGCCCAGACUCCUAAGGGAGGCAGCAGUUGGGAAUAUUGCACAAUGGGCGCAAGCCUGAUGCAGCCAUGCCGCGGGUGUGAAGAAGGCCUUCGGGUUGUAAAGCACGUUCAGCGGGGAGGCGUUACCCGCAGAAGAAGCACCGGCUAACUCCGUGCCAGCCGCCGCGGUAAUAC